CUCGCGACCACGUUACCAAUGAGACCAUCGCUCUCAAGAAGAUUUGCCUUGAGCAGGAGGAUGAAGGCGUUCCUAGCACUGCAUUUCGCGAGAUUUCUCUCCUCAAGGAAAUGCAGCACAGGAAUACUGUUAGGUCCAUCCUUAUGUUGCCACUGGAAAUAAGAACUCUAAAUUUGGCAUUAGAAAUGAGAUGCUGCAGUGGUUUUUAGAUGCUAUAAAGGAGCAUUCUAAUGAGGUUAAGCUUGUAGGUGUCCACUGCCAUCUUGGGUCAACAAUUACCAAGGUAUAAAAUUAUUGGUUCGUAUACUGGUGUUAAGAUUUGUAGCUGGACCAAGUCACAGCUUCGAGGACGGUGUGGUUGCUACAAGCAUUCAUUCUAUGAUAAAAUGCAAGACACGGUAAUCAGCUGUCUUACCUCAUAUACGGUAUUAGAUUAAGUUAGACUAGGCAACUUCUUUUCUUGCAUAAAUGAUAACAAAAGAAAUGUGCUUAGUGUAUGUUUAUUUGCCAGAUUCUAGAAUCCAUCAUCGGUUAGCAUUCGUUAAGAGCUCAUGUCUCACACUUUAGUUGAAUUCACUUAACAGGAACAAGAUUUUAUUGUUAGCAUUUUCCAUUUUAAAUUAACUUUUUAAUUAACUAAAUUUCUUGAUGAAAUUUAAAGGCGAAAAUAAUUUACAAAAUUAUAUAAGAAACCUAAAUUGUUUAUUUUGGGAAUCUCCUUAUAUCACAACAAUAAAGUUUAAUUAUUCCAUGGAUUCUAAUAAUUUUAAAAUUGAAGGAAGUGCAAAUUUUAAUUUUGAAAAUUCGGCAUUCAUUAUAUAGCUUGCACUUUUUUAGAAUUGAAGGUGAGAAAGAGAGUAUCUUUUUAAGUAUUAUUCUUUUUCUUAGAAGUUUUUUUUUCUUUUCUUUUUCGUGCUUGCAUAAUAAAUAUCAUUUGUUUGCUUGAACUGAAUCUUGGGUUUGUUUGCUUGCUAUAAGUUUUAUUCCUGAACUGAAUCUUAUUAGUAUUUAUUUAAGUCUAUUUUUUUUAUUCUAGGCUUUUAAUAUUUGUCUUCUCGCUGUUGUUGCCGUUGCCACCUCUCUUGGUUUGCUUCUGCUGCGGUACUGCUGUUGCUGUUAGGGCACAGAUUUAGUUUCUGGGUGCUAGGUGACUAUUUUUAUUUUAGUUUAAUUUUAAAAACUCCCACAGCUUCUAUAGAGGCAACUAAGCUAAUGAAUGUUAAGUUGUUAUUACUUAUUUGUUCUGUAAUAGAACCUCUAAAAUAAAAUCACAAGUGGAAUUUGUUUUACUAUAAUUUGUUCUUGUAGUGUACUGUUGACUGAAUUUGUACUGCUGAUUGCUUAACUAUAAUUUUUUCUAUGCUUUAUCUUCUCAUCUAUUUGUUGGCCUUGGCAAGUU